ACGGGACUGUUUCGGCUUGGUUUAGUUCAUGUUAUCGUUCAUUGUUUUGUAUUUCAUAGUGUUCAGGCUUUUUCUUAUUAAAAUUCGUCAUGAACACUUACCACGCCGCAUCUUGGUUCGAUCCUUACUCCUCUUCAGACGAAGAGGAGGAAAUCUGCCGUUUACAUCCAGUCACUCACCUCAGCCAGAGACCAAUGAGAUGGUGUUAUGAUCACAUGUAGCUGCUUACAACGGCAUUUGCCGAAGAUGUCUGAAAGGUUUCAGAGAAAGGCCCAGUAUGAGGAGGUCUGUGGUGCAAUCAAUUCCAUGAUGGGUCUAUGACAACCACACAAAGGUACAGACAGGAUAGCCACUGGUUCACCUACAAACUGCCUUCCACCUCUCAUUUUCCAAAAGCAAAACAAGUGCUGGGAGUUGAAUUUGUUAUAUUUCUCUCUCUCUCUCAUAACUAUUGACUAUUUCCACAUGUUUUGUGUUACAGCCUGAAUUUAGAAUGUAUUACAUUUAGAUUAUUUUAUCACUGGCCUACAUACAAUACCCCAUAAUGUCAAAUUAAUAAAACAUGAAAAGCUGAAAUAAGUAUUCAACCACUUUGUUAUGGAAAGCCUAAAAUAAGCUCAGGAGUAAAAAUCUGUGUGCAAUGAUAGUGUUUAACAUGAAUUUUGAAUGACUACCUCAUCUCUGUACCCCACACAUACAAUUAUCUAUAAGGUCCUUUAGUCAAACACAAAUUCAACC